UACGUAGGGUGCGAGCGUUGUCCGGAAUUAUUGGGCCUAAAGCAUCCGUAGCCGGUCCUGCAAGUCUUCCGUUAAAUCCAGCUGCUCAACAGAUGGGCUGCGGGGGAUACUACAGGGCUAGGAGGCGGGAGAGGCAAGCGGUACUUUAUGGGUAGGGGUAAAAUCCGUUGAUCCAUAGAAGACCACCAGUGGCGAAGGCGGCUUGCCAGAACGCGCUCGACGGUGAGGGAUGAAAGCUGGGGGAGCAAACCGG
rnacentral:rRNA from 1 species